CCCUUAGAUGUUCUGGGCCGCACGCGCGCUACACUGAUGCAUGCAACGAGUUCUAUCCUUGGCCGGAAGGCCUGGGUAAUCUGUGAACGUGCAUCGUGAUAGGGAUAGAUUAUUGCAAUUAUUAAUCUUGAACGAGGAAUUCCUAGUAAACGCAAGUCAUCAGCUUGCAUUGAUUACGUCCCUGCCCUUUGUACACACCGCCCGUCGCACCCACCGAUCGAAGGUAAUGAUGAGCCCUCAGGAUUGUGGCCUCGUCGCGUCAGCGUCUUGGCUGCGAGAAUCUGUGCAAAUCCCUACCUUUAGAGGAAGGUGAAGUCGUAACA
rnacentral:rRNA from 1 species